rnacentral:rRNA from 1 species
GGCAGCAGUGGGGAAUAUUGGACAAUGGGCGCAAGCCUGAUCCAGCAAUACCGCGUGUGUGAAGAAGGCCUGAGGGUUGUAAAGCACUUUCAAUAGGGAGGAAAACCUGUCGGCGAAUACCCGGCAGCUUGACAUUACCUAUACAAGAAGCACCGGCUAACUCCGUGCCAGCAGCCGCGGUAAUACGGAGGGUGCAAGCGUUAAUCGGAAUUACUGGGCGUAAAGCGUGCGUAGGCGGCUCGUUAAGUCAGAUGUGAAAGCCCCGGGCUUAACCUGGGAACGGCAUUUGAUACUGGCGAGCUCGAGUUUAAUAGAGGGGAGUGGAAUUUCAGGUGUAGCGGUGAAAUGCGUAGAUAUCUGAAGGAACACCAGUGGCGAAGGCGACUCCCUGGAUUAAAACUGACGCUGAGGUACGAAAGCGUGGGUAGCAAACAGGAUUAGAUA